GAGUUUGAUCCUGGCUCAGGACGAACGCUGGCGGCGUGCUUAACACAUGCAAGUCGAACGGUAAGGCCCUUUCGGGGGUACACGAGUGGCGAACGGGUGAGUAACACGUGGGUGAUCUGCCCUGCACUUUGGGAUAAGCCUGGGAAACUGGGUCUAAUACCGAAUAUUCCUUGCUGGUCGCAUGGCCUGGUGGGGGAAAGCUUUUGCGGUGUGGGAUGGGCCCGCGGCCUAUCAGCUUGUUGGUGGGGUGAUGGCCUACCAAGGCGACGACGGGUAGCCGGCCUGAGAGGGUGUCCGGCCACACUGGGACUGAGAUACGGCCCAGACUCCUACGGGAGGCAGCAGUGGGGAAUAUUGCACAAUGGGCGCAAGCCUGAUGCAGCGACGCCGCGUGAGGGAUGACGGCCUUCGGUUGUAACGU
rnacentral:rRNA from 1 species